UGGGGAAUAUUGGACAAUGGGCGCAAGCCUGAUCCAGCCAUGCCGCGUGAGUGAAGAAGGCCCUAGGGUCGUAAAGCUCUUUCGCCUGUGAUGAUAAUGACAGUAGCAGGUAUAGAAACCCCGGCUAACUCCGUGCCAGCAGCCGCGGUAAUACGAAGGGGGCGAGCGUUGUUCGGAAUUACUGGGCGUAAAGGGCGCGUAGGCGGCUCUUUAAGUUAGGCGUGAAAGCCCCGGGCUCAACCUGGGAACUGCGCUUAAGACUGGAGAGCUAGAAAACGGAAGAGGGUAGUGGAAUUCCCAGUGUAGAGGUGAAAUUCGUAGAUAUUAGAAAGAAUACCAAUUGCGAAGGCAGCUUUCUGGAUCAUUACUGACGCUGAGGAACGAAAGCAUGGGUAGCGAAGAGG
rnacentral:rRNA from 1 species